rnacentral:rRNA from 1 species
AGUGGCGGACGGGUGAGUAACGCGUGGGUAACCUACCUCAUACAGGGGGAUAACAGUUGGAAACGACCGCUAAUACCGCAUAACCCGCUAGUAUCGCAUGAUACAGACGGAAAAGAUUUAUCGGUAUGAGAUGGACCCGCGUCUGAUUAGCCAGUUGGCAGGGUAACGGCCUACCAAAGCAACGAUCAGUAGCCGGCCUGAGAGGGUGAACGGCCACAUUGGGACUGAGACACGGCCCAAACUCCUACGGGAGGCAGCAG